UAGCGAAGGUCCCAGCAGGGAGGUACGAACUCUUAAAAUGAGACCUCUCUAACAUCAUACAAAACCUUCGCAUACUAAUUUGCCGAAUCGUAGGACACCCUCAACCCUUCAAUUUUUGGGCGUCUUGAACCCUCGGCUAUAUUAUC